rnacentral:lncRNA from 1 species
CUGGUCAUAAAGGGAAAAUAUGUUAGUUUUUAUCAAUUCCCCGGCAACGGCGCCAAUUUUUGAUAGGCGGUUGUCGAAGCCGUCAAAAAUAAACCUAUUAAACAAUCAACAAUAAACUUGUAGAUAGUGGCAAUAGGGUCGAACCACAGGGAAUUGACACCAAUGAUUUUCCUAAUAAUGACUAGGUCAAGUAAAUAACAAGUAAAUAAAAGAGGG